rnacentral:lncRNA from 1 species
GGCAGUGUAUUUCCCAGUUUCUACAAUACAUGUAACUAUACUCUUACUGUGUUCGUGUUUAUCUUAACUGUAGUUUGUGCAAUAUAAUUGUUUUACGUGCAUCAAUCAUCACAGUGUCGUGGGAGAUUGUUUUCAAUGAGACGUUUUUUAGACUCUGGCUAAUUUCCAAACAUUGAAAACAAACACAACCGUGUGAACCGUUUAAUGUUCUGAAAUAUAAGUUUGCUUUGUUUCAACAGCCUCAAAGAGAAGUGAUCCCUCAAGAGGUUGACCUUGAUGGCAUGGAGUUGCUGAAACCGGUCAUGAAUAUGCUCACGGAGCCGCAAAACAAGUUGCUAUCGAAUUUAGACACGAAAUCCUUGCCCAACCUGGGAUCUUGAUGAUCACAAGUCAUGGAUCUUGGUACCACCCUUUGAAUUUCAUUUCGGGACGAAACCAAUUCCUCACCAUUGGAGAAGGAAACAGAAACCAGUUUACGGCAAUAUUCCGGCAAGGUUAAAAAUGCCGUCUUACAACUGUUGAAUGCAACCAAAGACCAGGGAUCGAUUAUGGAAAGACGUUUGCUCCGGUAACUUAUCGUGAAGCCGUCCGUUAACCAACGUUAUACAAAUAACCGGGACUUGUAGAAUACAUCCCUACAACAACAACGACAACAACAACAACACUGGAAUAUUAGAAGAAUUGGGGGAAUAUUUAGUUCCUCUUCGGUUUGCCACUCAACUGGAAACUUUCGGACGGGUUCAAAAAUUCUCAAAAAUUUAAUGUACCCUGUCUACCAGAAGAGACACUGCUGAGGCUCACACUCAUUUGGGUUCAAUGAACAUAUUAACGAAACCAGCCCAGGGAAAUUCAAACGGUUAUGAAAAAUUUAUUUCACUAGUCAUUAUUUCCUUUUUUUAAUUCUCUAUCUUAUGUUCGGACAUCCUUGCAACGUGUGAUGUUACUACUGAGGUGUUAUCCUGAGGUUAUUCCACCGACAGUUGCACGCAGGGCUUCCAACAGAUUGGGGAAAAACCGCAUUUUGACUUAUACACCAGAUACUGAAAAGAUUGAAGAACACUUCAUGUCGAAACGAGAAAAGGAAAACUGCUUAGUACCAAAAUCCCACGUAACAACAAGAACAAAGAUGAUGUGUCAAAUACAGAAAAGUUGUAAGACCAUUUCAUUUACGAGGAUAAACCUUGUACUUCAACAGGUUUUAAAUGUGGGCGUGUAAUAAAACCUCCAUUACGUAUAAAGUAGUUAUAUAUUUUACAUUUAUUUUGGCGUGUACUCAAAAUAUUAUACCAAUACAGAAUCCUUAAAUUAAAA